GAUGAAGAACGCAUCGAAAUGCGAUAAGUAAUGUGAAUUGCAGAAUUCAGUGAAUCAUCGAAUCUUUGAACGCACAUUGCGCCCGCCAGUAUUCUGGCGGGCAUGCCUGUUCGAGCGUCAUUUCAACCCUCAGGCCCCCAGUGCCUGGUGUUGGGGAUCGGCAGCAGGGCGUCAAGCCCGCCGGCCCCGAAAUCUAGUGGCGGUCUCGCUGUAGUCCUCCUCUGCGUAGUAGCACAACCUCGCAGUUGGAACGCGGCGGUGGCCAUGCCGUUAAACACCCCACUUCUGAAAGUUGACCUCGGAUCAGGUAGGAAUACCCGCUGAACUUAAGCAUAUCAAUAAGCGGAGGA
rnacentral:misc_RNA from 1 species